rnacentral:rRNA from 1 species
GACGAACGCUGGCGGCGUGCUUAACACAUGCAAGUCGAACGGAAAGGCCCUGCUUUUGUGGGGUGCUCGAGUGGCGAACGGGUGAGUAACACGUGAGUAACCUGCCCUUGACUUUGGGAUAACUUCAGGAAACUGGGGCUAAUACCGGAUAGGAGCUCCUGCUGCAUGGUGGGGGUUGGAAAGUUUCGGCGGUUGGGGAUGGACUCGCGGCUUAUCAGCUUGUUGGUGGGGUAGUGGCUUACCCAGGCUUUGACGGGUAGCCGGCCUGUGAGGGUGACCGGCCACAUUGGGACUGAGAUACGGCCCAGACUCCUACGGGAGGCAGCAGUGGGGAAUAUUGCACAAUGGGCGGAAGCCUGAUGCAGCAACGCCGCGUGCGGGAUGACGGCCUUCGGGUUGUAAACCGCUUUCGCCUGUGACGAAGCGUGAGUGACGGUAAUGGGUAAAGAAGCACCGGCUAACUACGUG